rnacentral:rRNA from 1 species
GCAGGGAAUAUUGCACAAUGGGCGAAAGCCUGAUGCAGCGACGCCGCGUGCGGGAUGAAGGCCUUCGGGUUGUAAACCGCUUUCAGCAGGGACGAAAAUGACGGUACCUGCAGAAGAAGCCCCGGCCAACUACGUGCCAGCAGCCGCGGUAACACGUAGGGGGCGAGCGUUGUCCGGAUUUAUUGGGCGUAAAGGGCUCGUAGGCGGCUUGACAAGUCGAUCGUGAAAACCCGGGGCUCAACCCCGGGACGCCGGUCGAAACUGUCAUGGCUAGGGUCCGGUAGAGGUGAGUGGAAUUCUCGGUGUAGCGGUGAAAUGCGCAGAUAUCGAGAGGAACACCAGUAGCGAAGGCGGCUCACUGGGCCGGUACCGACGCUGAUGAGCGAAAGCGUGGGGAGCAAACAGG